rnacentral:rRNA from 1 species
AGAGUUUGAUCCUGGCUCAGGACGAACUUUGGCGGCGUGCUUAACACAUGCAAGUCGAACGAGAAUCUGUGGAAAGAGGAUUCGUCCAAUUGAAGCAGAGGACAGUGGCGGACGGGUGAGUAACGCGUGAGGAACCUGCCUUUCAGAGGGGGACAACAGUUGGAAACGACUGCUAAUACCGCAUGACACAUUGAGGUCGCAUGGCCUUAAUGUCAAAGAUUUAUCGCUGAAAGAUGGCCUCGCGUCUGAUUAGCUAGUUGGUGAGGUAACGGCCCACCAAGGCGACGAUCAGUAGCCGGACUGAGAGGUUGAACGGCCACAUUGGGACUGAGAUACGGCCCAGACUCCUACGGGAGGCAGCAGUGGGGAAUAUUGGGCAAUGGGCGCAAGCCUGACCCAGCAACGCCGCGUGAAGGAAGAAGGCUUUCGGGUUGUAAACUUCUUUUGUCAGGGACGAGUAGAAGACGGUACCUGACGAAUAAGCCACGGCUAACUACGUGCCAGCAGCCGCGGUAAUACGUAGGUGGCAAGCGUUGUCCGGAUUUACUGGGUGUAAAGGGCGUGUAGCCGGGAGGGCAAGUCAGAUGUGAAAUCCACGGGCUUAACUCGUGAACUGCAUUUGAAACUGUUCUUCUUGAGUAUCGGAGAGGCAAUCGGAAUUCCUAGUGUAGCGGUGAAAUGCGUAGAUAUUAGGAGGAACACCAGUGGCGAAGGCGGAUUGCUGGACGACAACUGACGGUGAGGCGCGAAAGCGUGGGGAGCAAACAGGAUUAGAUACCCUGGUAGUCCACGCUGUAAACGAUGAAUACUAGGUGUGCGGGGACUGACCCCCUGCGUGCCGCAGUUAACACAAUAAGUAUUCCACCUGGGGAGUACGAUCGCAAGGUUGAAACUCAAAGGAAUUGACGGGGGCCCGCACAAGCGGUGGAUUAUGUGGUUUAAUUCGAAGCAACGCGAAGAACCUUACCAGGGCUUGACAUCCUGCUAACGAGAUAGAGAUAUGUUAGGUGCCCUUCGGGGAAAGUAGAGACAGGUGGUGCAUGGUUGUCGUCAGCUCGUGUCGUGAGAUGUUGGGUUAAGUCCCGCAACGAGCGCAACCCCUGUUCUUAGUAGCCAGCACGUAGUGGUGGGCACUCUAGGGAGACUGCCAGGGUGAACCUGGAGGAAGGUGGGGAUGACGUCAAAUCAUCAUGCCCCUUAUGACUUGGGCUACACACGUGCUACAAUGGCGUAAACAAAGGGAAGCGAGAGCGUGAGUUUGAGCAAAUCCCAAAAAUAACGUCUCAGUUCGGAUUGUAGUCUGCAACUCGACUACAUGAAGCUGGAAUCGCUAGUAAUCGCGAAUCAGAAUGUCGCGGUGAAUACGUUCCCGGGUCUUGCACACACCGCCCGUCA